rnacentral:tRNA from 1 species
GGUUCCAUGGUGUAAUGUUAAGCACUCUGGACUCUGAAUCCAGCGAUCCGAGUCGAAAUCUCAGUGAAACCU